rnacentral:lncRNA from 1 species
AUAGCUGAAACAGUAUACAAUGAAUAAUGUGUAAUCAUAUGGCGAUAAAUAAAAGGUGAUUUAUUUAUGUUCAUAGGUUUUGAUACCAUAUUGGAUUCAAUUAUUAUUGUGUUUCAUUUUGCAUGUUUUAACUUCCAGAAUAACUAGGUCAUUGUUCUGGAUGACUAAGUUAUUCAAACCAUCCACAGUCGGUCAUAUGUUGGAAGUAGAUAUGAAUUAAGACUGUCAUGGGUUGGCUUGUAGAGGUCUAAGGUGUUGGACAAAGGGCUACAACACUCAUGAGUGCUCAUAAGUUCUGAGUAUUGGAUUCAACCCGCGCUCAUUGGAAUCACUUCAUGGAUUUUAUCACGAGUGAUCAUGAGACGAUAACAUCUUAUAUUCUUCAAACCUAGAGAUAUGAGUUGUUACUAUGAGUUGGUCAUACAUUGAUUGCACGAAAACGCAUUGGUAACUCGAUGAUAUAAAAUGUGCCUUUGUGUAUGAUUCAACAAGUAGUAGAACAAGCCAUAUGAGUCGAAGUUUAUCCAUUCCUUUUACCUUCGGGAUAAAAGCGAUAUCUGUGGGCCCCUCGAUGAUUUGAUGAUGACAAAUGGAAGUGCUCAGCCGGGCCAGGAUUGAUUUGAUUUGUUCAAUUAGUCAGUCGUCAUAAAUCGAAAAUUGGGAAACAACAAAUGGAUAGAGAAAACGAUUAUAAUUCAUGUAUCAGUCCAUAUGAUAUCUAGGAUGGAGGAAUAUAUGAUCCCUUAUCUAAUGGACAAAUCAUUGACAAAGGUCAGAGUUCAUUUACAAGGUCAGAGUUCGACAUAAGCUUUUGAGCUCUACGAUUGCCAGUCGGUUCUUAAAUCGGAAAUUGGGAAACAACAAAUGGAUAGAUAGAAUGAUUAUAAUCCAUGUCUUAGUCCAUAUGAUAUCUAGAAUUGAGGAAUAUAUGAUCCCUUAUCUAAUGGACAAAUCAUUGACAAAGGUCAGAGUUCAUUUACAAGGUCAGAGUUCGACAUAAGCUUUUGAGCUCUACGAUUGCCAGUCGGUUCUUGAAGUCACAUGCAAUAACAGUUUUAGACUUAUCCAAGUGGGAGACUGUUGGAUUAAUGUCUAAGUCCAUAACUAUAAUUGGUAAGACUUGACCCGACCCGGCAUGGUCCAUUUGGGUUGCAUACCAUCAUGCACUUGGAUAGACUAUAAUGAGAG